rnacentral:rRNA from 1 species
UUGCACGCUGGCGGCAUGCUUUACACCUGCCAGUCGAACGGUAACAGGCCGCAAGGUGCUGACGAGUGGCGAACGGGUGAGUAAUGCAUCGGAACGUGCCCAGUCGUGGGGGAUAACUACUCGAAAGAGUAGCUAAUACCGCAUACGAUCUAUGGAUGAAAGCGGGGGACCGUAAGGCCUCGCGCGAUUGGAGCGGCCGAUGUCAGAUUAGGUAGUUGGUGGGGUAAAGGCUCACCAAGCCAACGAUCUGUAGCUGGUCUGAGAGGACGACCAGCCACACUGGGACUGAGACACGGCCCAGACUCCUACGGGAGGCAGCAGUGGGGAAUUUUGGACAAUGGGCGCAAGCCUGAUCCAGCAAUGCCGCGUGCAGGAAGAAGGCCUUCGGGUUGUAAACUGCUUUUGUACGGAACGAAACGGCUCUGGUUAAUACCCGGGGCUAAUGACGGUACCGUAAGAAUAAGCACCGGCUAACUACGUG